ACGGGAGGCAGCAGUGGGGGAUAUUGCACAAUGGGGGAAUCCCUGAUGCAGAGACGCCGCGUGAGUGAAGAAGUAUUUCGGUAUGUAAAGCUCUAUCAGCAGGGAAGAUAAUGACGGUACCUGACUAAGAAGCCCCGGCUAACUACGUGCCAGCAGCCGCGGUAAUACGUAGGGGGCAAGCGUUAUCCGGAUUUACUGGGUGUAAAGGGUGUGUAGGCGGGAAGGCAAGUCAGAUGUGAAAACCAUGGGCUCAACCCAUGGCCUGCAUUUGAAACUGUCUUUCUUGUGAGUCGGAUGGGUAAUCGGAAUUCCCGGUGUAGCGGUGAAAUGCGCAGAGAUCGGGAGGAACAUCAGUGGCGAAGGCGGAUUACUGGACGACAACUGACGCUGAGACACGAAAGCGUGGGGAGCAAACAGGAUUAGAUACCCUGGUA
rnacentral:rRNA from 1 species